rnacentral:rRNA from 1 species
AUUGAACGCUGGCGGCAGGCCUAACACAUGCAAGUCGAGCGAGAGGCGGACGGGGGAGUGAUGUAUGGGGAUAUGCGCGAUAGAGGGGGAUAACUACUGGAAACGGUAGCUAAUACAGCAUACCAUAAGAUGAACCCAUAUGGGGUUAGCUUGUAGGUGAGGUAACGGCGCACCUAGGCGACGAUCCCUAGCUGGUCUGAGAGGAUGAUCAGCCACACUGGGACUGAGACACGGCCCAGACUCCUACGGGAGGCAGCAGUGGGGAAUAUUGCACAAUGGGCGCAAGCCUGAUGCAACCAUGCCGCGUGUAUGAAGAAGGCCUUCGGGUUGUAAAGUACUUUCAGUCGGGAGGCGUUACCGACAGAAGAAGCACCGGCUAACUCCGUGCCAGCAGCCGCGGUAAUAC